CAAAAUCAGUAAAAUAGCCAGGAAGAUAUAUGCAUUUUAAGUAAACUAAACCACCUUCUUUUGAGCUAGCUGAAAAUUUCCAAAUAAAUUUUUUUAUCACUAAAGUUUUAGGCACUACAUCGCAGCAACUUUAAUUUUUAAUUUUCGUUUCAUUAUAUUUUUUCAUUCUCAAUUCUGUUACUCCAGGAUAUUGCUGAAAUACUUCGUCUUAGUGUUCUAAUGGCUAUGAAAUUAGCAUUUGGUAGUUUGAAAUAUUCAGUCUAUGAAACGAUGGAUACAACAAUUAAUGAUGUUGUGUUCUUUCAAAGUGUAGAAUUCUCAGUAUUGCUUUGCAGCGAUGAGUUUGUCCGCAAACUUAAUUAGGAUUGGAGAGGUGAAGACAACCCUACUGAUGUCCUUUCAAUGUCUCAACAUGUACCUCAACUUGAGCGUCCAAUCUAUCUAUCUAUCUAUAUAUAAUAGGAGAGGCAAAAGCCUAUUAUGAUGACACGUGUCAUCACAAAAAAAAAUCCAACUUGAAAAUACAAAAAAAAAAAGUAAAAAAAAAAAACUGCAAAUUCCCAAGGAAUAUGAAAGCUAACUGAGUAACCAACUGAAUGGGGCAGUUUUAAUCACGUAUUAGCAGUUUACAUCUACUCUUGGUUUCGCUCAUCUGAAAACAACUUUAAAUGUGCUUAUUAGCAAAUCGUUGAUUUCUUCGGUACGUUUAUAGUUGAAAAAGGUUCCUUUGGCUUUCUUAUUUCCUCGAGGUUUUCAAUAUGUUCAGUUGUUCAUUGCGUCUUCUGCUGUUCAACUUGGUUGUUUUAAGUCUCUUUCGUUUGAUAGUGGUUGUUUGAUUUUUCGUGAUUUCACUUAGUCAUAUUAACAACUCCCUUUAGCCUCGGGGCAAGGUAUCAUAUUUCAUUUCAGCUAACGCCUAGGUGAAAGCCCCUAUUUUUUUCUCUAGAUUAUAUCAAGUGGACUAAUUAAAAACUGCAUUGCUGCUUCGAAUUUUUUCUGCGAUGAGUUCUGUGUUUCGCUUGGUCAGUUUUUCGGAUCGUGAUCUGUGAUUGUCGUUCGACCUCAAGAAUUCAUCUGAGAGGUUUAAUAGGGUGAAAAGUCAACGUCACAGCUGCCUCAACACGAGCUAAGGUAUUAGUGAAAGUUUUAUCAAAAGAAAUUCAAAAUACAGCAACUAGGUUCAGGGGGUGAUGUGCCACAAAGCAGUGAGUUCAGCUCUUUCUCAGUAGCACGGAGGGUAAAUUCUUCUCAAACCAUUGCAAUGGAUGAUGACAUGGAAGGAGGGAACUUGGGCCCUUACCAGGAUAGGCCAAGGACAUUUCCUAGCAUGAAAAGUAAAGCUUAUACACCAUGGGGAAGUUACAUUAUUUAGGUGCACUUCAUGUUUGAUCUAGCUCCAAGAUUUUGGGUUUCCAAUUUGACCCAUUAGUUCAUGUAUUCUGAUCAAGUCUAACCAUUUCAUACCUCUGACUUUCCCUUGCCUUCCCUGUGAUUCUUUAAUAAAACAAUACUUAAUAUGCUUCCAAUGAAAGCCUAAACUGGAAAUAUGUUAAAAUUUUGGGUAGUUUCAAGUUGUUUGUACCUAAUGUUAACCACAGUUGUGAUCUUAGUAUAUGUGAUCUCUUUUUGACACUGCUUGAUUGGUCUUUUUAAGUUUGAUUAAUCAUAUUCUCCUCUGACUGAGCAGUAAUAAUUUUGAGCUCGUUUUUUCAGUUUGUGGACACUACUAAUGCCGAAAGAGAUAUGAACAUUGCUAAAAGAGUCUUUUGCAUGCAGUCUAUGAGAGUUGUACAUUCUCUUUUCUUAGCUGGGAGUUUCACUCUUUUGUGAUACUAAUCUGUUGACAAAAUUAAUACUACAAGUUAUGAUUAUUGGAGUUAUGAUGAACACAUCUCCUUCGAGUAGCUAUCUACUUGGGUUUCUGCUAUGUUGUUGUGAAAUAUAGCGUUUAGUUUCUUCUCUACACUGUAGGAAGCAUCCAAUCAAAACAAGGAGCCCCGAAGCCGUAUUUUCGCCAGUAAGGGGAAAAUAACUGUGUUCUUGAUAAUGAUGACAUUGUAUCUUAAAGGAAAGAAACAACGUAUGGAAAUGCAAGAGCGAAUAAUUCUAUGCAUUUUGUAGUAGUUAUAACAGUUACUGCUACAGUAGAGAUCUCUCUUAACUGCCUUCUUGCAGAUGCAAUAAUCAAAAGAAUUCUGUUUUUCUAUUUGCAGUUAAUACAUGAGGUUUUCCAGCAUAUAGAGAACGGUGCUUGUGAAUAUGGUAAAAUCAAAGAUGAUGUAGUGCCUCAUAAAGCUCCAUUUGUGAGGUAUUUUAACAAUAAAUGAAAAUGAAGCACUUUACAUAUUAUGUUUCCUGACCAGUCUUGAGUCCAAAAUUCAAACCUGGAUAUUAUUCAAGUCAAUGUGAGCACGAAGUACGAUUAAUUCUUAAUUAUAUGCAUGUAUUUUGGAUGGAAUUAGUAUUUUGAUUAUGUUGUAUAAGGUUAAUGAGAUCUUAUCCUUAAAUAUAUACAAGAGGAUUUGGGUUUCUAAUUGAAGAUUUAUAUAUGGCAAACUUUUUCUUCUC